UGCAACACAUUCACUCCAAAAUGGGUCUGCCUGACUUGCUUGCAUUGCACUCUCUAGGCAGGCCUCGCCACGCACAUAUACCUAUUUUCAGAAUCUUUAUCUAGGCCUUGCUUCCUCUAUGGUUUGACCACUGAAUGAGUGUUAGGGUAUGUUUUCUAAUUGUAGAGGCGUUGCCUUCGAUUGGUUGGAGUAGCACUGGUUCAAGGUUAACGGUAACAAGCCACUGAUGGGAAAAAUAAAUAAUCACGGGAGGUUGCUACUAGGGCCGUCAACUUACAUUUUCAGUGGCAUAGGACAUCACUAGCGGAACAUCGGAAAUUGGUUAGUUAGUCACAAAAAGUAACCUUGAUUAUUCUUCGAUCAAACCAGGUUUACGUUUUUGGUCAAAGCUAACCUUUUACCUUACGAUGGGGGGAUUGGUUGACAAUAGGGUGGUGCAAGGAAUACAUCUUGAUUAUACCGCCGCCCUGACAUUUGAUUAGGUGAAGGUCUCCAAGGGCUAUUCAAACCUCACGACACCAGUGCUUGUCCAAGACUUAUCCAUGUGGAUCACAUCCGUCUGCCGCAUCACGGGUCGUCUGUUGGCUCACGGGCCGUCCGCACCCAAACACGUGUCCUCCAGCGAAUUUGGUCCACGCACUGCAUCCACAGACCUACAAUGCGACCACGGACCUUUGCUGCCAACACAGACCUUCGCUGCGACCACGGACCUUCGUUGCGACCACAGAUCUUGGCUGCAUCCCUGGAUGUUCAUGACCUGCCGAGGCCGGGGUGGGAGGUAGGAUCUCCUGCCGAAAUGACGACUUCCACCCACUGGGCCAUGUUACAUUGCCAUGUGGACGGCCUAUGAAUGAUAUUUGUUGCUGAGAGAUGGAGGUGCUGGUUUUAUUCAGUGGUGUGAGCACAUAUGUUCUUGGAAUGGUCAACAUGUGCUCGGGCCCCUCCGAUGCAAGUCCGGAUGCCGACCCUUGAAAGGCCAAGAAAAGUCCCACCAAUCCCCUUGAGCCGGGUGGAGAACCACCGCCAGACAUAGUUCUCAUGAGCAAGAUCCCUAAAGAACCGCUCAUGUUUCGAAAUGGGUGAAAGCGAUUCCCCGUUGCAAUUAUAACUCGUUGAACCACCCAUGCCCCCCUCUGUUCCAGGAAUUUUUCAAUCAUGAUUCGAAAUUGAAUGCACGGGAAACAUUCUCACACGAGAGCAAUGACCAAAGGAAAGGCAAGAAGGUAUUAGGGCCUCUGCUGGUUCCCAUUCUACCACGCGUCCCACAAGUCCUUUGAGUCCCAGGAGUCCCUCAACGGCCUAUGAAAGAUAUUCUGAGGAUCUGACGGCUUUAAACAAUUGUCCACACAAUCACAAGGACAAAAAUCGAAAUCACGAACUUGCGCAAGAGUGCUGACCUCAACGGCUUUGAAACCCAUCGAAGGUUGUACUGGUUCGAGGGAUUUUCCCUUCUUGCCAAGGGUAUGAUGCAAUUUUUGAUUUUGAAAACGAUGGUGCCCGCACAAUUUCCCUUUCUCCAGUUGUAGUCAAGUAACCACAAAAAAGUGACGUAAUGCCGCCUAGUCCCAAUACGUUGUAAAUGAACAAUUGGAAAUUCC